rnacentral:rRNA from 1 species
AUUGAACGCUGGCGGCAUGCCUUACACAUGCAAGUCGAACGGCAGCACGGGAGCUUGCUCCUGGUGGCGAGUGGCGAACGGGUGAGUAAUGCAUCGGAACGUACCCGGAAGUGGGGAUAACGUAGCGAAAGUUACGCUAAUACCGCAUAUUCUGUGAGCAGGAAAGAGGGGGAUCGCAAGACCUCUCGCUUUCGGAGCGGCCGAUGUCGGAUUAGCUAGUUGGUGGGGUAAAGGCCUACCAAGGCGACGAUCCGUAGCGGGUCUGAGAGGAUGAUCCGCCACACUGGAACUGAGACACGGUCCAGACUCCUACGGGAGGCAGCAGUGGGGAAUUUUGGACAAUGGGCGAAAGCCUGAUCCAGCCAUGCCGCGUGAGUGAGGAAGGCCUUCGGGUUGUAAAGCUCUUUCGGCUGAAAAGAAAUCGCACAGGCUAAUACCCUGUGUGGAUGACGGUAUCAGCAUAAGAAGCACCGGCUAACUACGUGCCAGCCGCCGCGGUAA